rnacentral:rRNA from 1 species
GAUGAACGCUAGCGGCAGGCCUAAUACAUGCAAGUCGAAACGGAUAUAUGUUUUUCGGAAUAUAUAUUAGUGGCGCACGGGUGAGUAACACGUACAUAACUUGCCCUCAAGCGGGGGAUAGCCUUGGGAAACUGAGAGUAAUACCCCAUAGAAUUAUUGGACGGCAUCGUUUGAUAAUUAAAACUACGGUGUUUGGGGAUAGAUGUGCGUCUGAUUAGCUAGUUGGUGAGGUAACUGCUCACCAAGGCGACGAUCAGUAGGGGGCGUGAGAGCGUGGCCCCCCCACACGGGUACUGAGACACGGACCCGACUCCUACGGGAGGCAGCAGUAAGGAAUAUUGGUCAAUGGAGGGAACUCUGAACCAGCCAUGCCGCGUGAAGGAUGACGGCCCUCUGGGUUGUAAACUUCUUUUGGAUGGGGCGAAAAAACGGGAUUUAUCCUGGACUGACGGUACCAUCAGAAUAAGCACCGGCUAACUCCGUG